GACGAACGCUGGCGGCGUGCUUAACACAUGCAAGUCGAACGGAAAGGCCCUGCUUUUGUGGGUUGCUCGAGUGGCGAACGGGGGUGUAACACGUGUGUAACCUCCCCUUGACUUUGGGAUAACUCCAGGAAACUGGGGCUAAUACAGGAUAGAAUCUCUUGCUGCAUGGGGUGGGUUGGAAAGUUUCGGCGGUUGGGGAUGGACUCGAGGCUUAUCAGCUUGUUGGGGGGGUAGUGGCUUACAAAGGUUUUGACGGGUAGCCGGCCUGAGAGGGUGACCGGCCACAUUGGGACUGAGAUACGGCCCAGAAUCCUACGGGAGGCAGCAGUGGGGAAUAUUGCACAAUGGGCGGAAGCCUGAUGCAGAAACGCCGCGUGCGGGAUGACGGCCUUCGGGUUGUAAACCGCUUUCGACUGUGACGAAGCGUGAGUGACGGUAAUGGGUAAAGAAGCACCGGCUAACUACGUG
rnacentral:rRNA from 1 species